rnacentral:lncRNA from 1 species
AAUCACUCAAGGAAUGAGAUUAUGACUCUUCAAUUUGAUUUUAUGAGUGAAUGAGAAAUUUCCCACUUUUGCUUGAUUCAGUAUCAUCCCUUUUUAAUGUGCUUCAAUGUACAUGAAGAAUGGAAAAAAAACUUUCUUUUCUUGUGUCCUGUGUUUAAUGGUCUUUAUGAGCAAUAUUGAGACUUCCCAUUCUGCUACCGAUACACACGCGCAUCCAGCUUUCAUUCUUAUCCCUUCCUUUACGUUUUUCUUUUGCUGUACGUGAUGUUCCUUUCUUUUCUUAUGUUUUUUUGGUUUUCAUGUUACUACUAAUAAUAAUAAUAACAAUAAUGAUAAUAAUAAAAGAAAAUAAAUACUAAACAUAUUUUUUUAUUUUUUCAAGAAAGUUACUAAAAAACUUUAAACAAAAAUAAAAUAUUUAUAAAAACGACAUUAGCGGAACUUGAACACGCAACAUCGCGUUUGAAACUCUUUGAACACUCUUUUUACUACCAAAUCGACUAAUUCACA